rnacentral:rRNA from 1 species
UGCCUCAGUUGCCCAGCAUUCGGUUUGGGGCACUCUAGAGGGGACUGCCGGCGACAAGUCGGAGGAAGUGGGGAUGACGUCAAAUCAUCAUGCCCCUUAUGACCUGGGCUACACACGUGCUACAAUGGGCGGUACAAAGGGCUGCGAAACCCGCGAGGGGGAGCGAAUCCCAAAAAGCCCGCUCUCAGUUCGGAUUGCAGGCUGCAACUCGCCUGCAUGAAGCCGGAAUCGCUAGUAAUCGCGGAUCAGCAUGCCGCGGUGAAUACGUUCCCGGGCCUU